AUGUAUGGAGGUAUCUUGUUUUGUUGAAUGUGAAUGUAUUUUCACUUUUUAGGAGUAGCGGAAAUAGAGUGAUCCUUCAGAUUCUACUGAGCUGCAUGCUGUGUGUCAUCUGACCUGCGUACUGCUUGCCAUAGAAGCAGAGGAGUGCACCAACACUAGACAGACUGACAUCCGAGAGAAGACCGCUUGUGUCCCCGAUGGUUGGCCGUCCUGUUGCUGAGUGCAUACAUGGAGAAGAGGACUGAAUGCAGCAUGUAAAUUUUGUGUGCCUCUGGAGAGGUGGUGCAGUUUUCUGUUAUUUAACCCAUUGACAGGGGCUUGCUCUGUUGUGGUAAUUGUGUUGCAAGUGUGAUAGCAACUUAGAUAUGAAUCAUGUGAACGUGUAAGGUGUGGAUGUCUAGUUAUGUGUGUGGGGUGUUCUACGGAGUGUAGUAAAAUAGUAGAAAUGUCGGCCGCAAUCACAUUGCGUUGAUAAGAGUCUGCUUCAUAGUGUGGUGGCCAACACAUCUCGGAAUGAGAGAGAGUUUGUCAUGUGUGACAGGCUGUAAGUUGCAGGUGCUCUUGGCUUUGGCCGCAGCUUGUCACCAAAGAUGUGAUUCCUCUUCCUGGAAAGAAUGUGUUAUUUCCUUUUAUCUGCUUCAUCCCAUUUCACAUUCUCAGUUCAAGCUAAUGCCACAGGAAGAUCUUCAAAACGUCAGUCAUUGUGAAUCUGUUCGGAAGCAGAUGGGGGGGGCUCUGCAGUUUCACUCGUUUAGGAAGUGCGGUGAUGAAGAUCUCUGGCAUAGCUAUACCGGACAGUCUUGAUAAUAGUGGGUGUCCGUUCUCUGACCCAGGAGGGCUUUAAAAGUGUGCUGACCACGCAUUACUUAGUUUGUAUUUUCUUCAUGUAAAUCUGUAAAGAGAUGUCAAAGCGGGAGGUAACGGGAAUACUUAGUGAUCAUCACCGAGAGGGAGUUUCCAAACAGUCGUUAACGGGAGAUGCGCAAUAGCAGUUGUCCUAUGAUCGAAAAGUGUGACUUGCCAGUGAUGAGAUUGCUUUUUGAAAGUCAGACGUUGCCGUCCCUGCGUGCGAGAAAAUGGCGCAGCUCCUCUGCUGUUAUUGUUUCCUUCGGACGGCGUGAUGGUAGGAUGCAUGCCCAGUCGAGUGCAGAUUUACUCUCUUAUAUUGCCAGGGCUUGCAAGUUUAUUUGAACUGAUGUUUGUCAUCUUUCUCCUGUGUGAAGUACGUAAAGUGGGAAAUAUUUUGGUUGCACGAAAGGCCGGAUUAGUUGCCAGUAGGCGUGAAUGCAAGCAUAUGGGAUACUUCAGCCGUUAUGCAGUUUCGAAUCCAUCAUUACUACGGAGGUAGCAAGACUUUGCUCGGGUAGCUGACAUGACCAUUGUGCGUGAUGGACACAAUUCAUCAGUCGAUGCGGUUGGGAUGACCCACAGACUCGUGGUGGCAGCCUCUGUUUUUGUGACUUGCAUGUGGAAAUUCAGUAGCUGUUGAUUUAAAUUUGUGCAAGAGCUUAUCGCAGUGAAGAAGCUAGAAGUAAGCAGCUAGGGUUACAGGUUGUAAUGUUGGUUAUGUGGCCACCACACCACACCACACCACAGUUGCCCACUUUUGAUUCCUAGUGACCAAGUAUGGGGUGUUCGUAGCAUGCCUCACAAUGCCACAAGGAAGACCUCAGGCCCUCGUGCGAUUACCUUGCUUUCCGAGGAGGUGUACUGUUAUAGAUUUAGUGGGAGUGCCUAGUCUGUCUCAAAGAGGAGUGUGAGAUCAGGGGAUGUGCUGAGUAGCAACUUUCAUGUGAACUGUAGCUGUAGUGUGUGUUUACUGGCAUCAACGAAGACAUGGAGGACCAAUUUGUCUGAAUAUCAGUGUUUCAGAAGAUCAGUUGUGUGCGUGAUGGGGAAGCAGCUUUUUUGGAGUUGGAGAUGUGAAGAACGAGACAGAACGAAGCACCUGGAGUGUUUGUUACUUGGAUAAGGAAUUGCAUUAUUCAGGACACCGGCCAUGCCGUCAUCAUGAAGUUACCUGCUUCAGUUCCCUCUGGGUGUUCUGUUUGACAUGGCUGGGGUGAAGAACCAGAACGAUAUUGGCCGCAGUUAGAUGACCUGUUACGGGCGAGUAAAACCUCUGUGUUGUGCCCCUGACACGAGAUAGGGCGUUGGACCAACAUUUCUCAAAGAGAGAGCAUAUUAAUUGGCUCACAAAGUGCAGCGUAUGUAUAGAGCUACAAUAACUGGAUGUGAGUGAGUGAGUGUGUGUGUCUGUCUGUUCAUAAGAGGCACCAGUACAAGAAGUAGGACACUGUCUUCUGACUUCAUAUCACAAAGAAUAUUAACUGGAUGAAUAUUCGGAAUAUGUACCAAGUUGGAAGAGGAAUACUUUUUCUGCCAAGCAACGGAGGAGUGCACCAACACUAGACAGACUGACAUCCGAGAGAAGACCGCUUGUGUCCCCGAUGGUUGGCCGUCCUGUUGCUGAGUGCGUACAUGGAGAAGAGGACUGAAUGCAGCGUGUAAAUUUUGUGUGCCUCUGGAGAGGUGGUGCAGUUUUCUGUUAUUUAACCCAUUGACAGGGGCUUGCUCUGUUGUGGUAAUUGUGUUGCAAGUGUGAUAGCAACUUAGAUAUGAAUCAUGUGAACGUGUAAGGUGUGGAUGUCUAGUUAUGUGUGUGGGGUGUUCUACGGAGUGUAGUAAAAUAGUAGAAAUGUCGGCCGCAAUCACA